CCUACGGGGGGCUGCAGUAAGGAAUAUUGGUCAAUGGACGGAAGUCUGAACCAGCCAUCCCGCGUGCAGGAAGAAGGUCCUAUGGAUUGUAAACUGCUUUUAGCAGAGACGAAACGCCUUCAUUUAUGGGGGUUUGACGGUAUCUGCGGAAUAAGCACCGGCUAACUCCGUGCCAGCAGCCGCGGUACUACGGAGGGUGCAAGCGUUAUCGGGUAUCACGGGGGUUUAGGCGUGGGAUUAAGGGGGAUGUGAAAGCCUGUAGCUUAACUACAGAAUUGCCAUUGAUACUGAUUUUCUUGAAUUGGGUUGAGGUUAGCGGAAUGUGACAUGUAACGGUGAAAUGUUUAGAUAUGUCAUGGAACACCGAUUGCGAAGGCAGCUAGCUGGGCCUUGAUUGACGCUGAGGCACGAAAGCGUGGGUAGCGAACAGGAUUAGAUACCCAAGUAGUC
rnacentral:rRNA from 1 species